GAGUUUGAUCAUGGCUCAGAUUGAACGCUGGCGGCAGGCCUAACACAUGCAAGUCGAGCGGAUGACGGGAGCUUGCUCCUUGAUUCAGCGGCGGACGGGUGAGUAAUGCCUAGGAAUCUGCCUGGUAGUGGGGGGACAACGUUUCGAAAGGAACGCUAAUACCGCAUACGUCCUACGGGAGAAAGCAGGGGACCUUCGGGCCUUGCGCUAUCAGAUGAGCCUAGGUCGGAUUAGCUAGUUGUGGGGUAAUGGCUCACCAAGGCGACGAUCCGUAACUGGUCUGAGAGGAUGAUCAGUCACACUGGAACUGAGACACGGUCCAGACUCCUACGGGAGGCAGCAGUGGGGAAUAUUGGACAAUGGGCGAAAGCCUGAUCCAGCCAUGCCGCGUGUGUAGAAGAAGGUCUUCGGAUUGUAAAAGCACUUUAAGUUGGGAGGAAGGGCAGUAAGUUAAUACCUUGCUGUUUUGACGUUACGACAGAAUAAGCA
rnacentral:rRNA from 1 species